CUUUUGCUAUUGUUAAAAUAUUUUCUCAUUUCUUGUAGUCUGUGGUGAAGACAGGUCGCCUGCUCAUCAGUCACGAGGCUCCGGUGACAGGAGGAUUUGCUGCUGAGAUCAGUUCUGCAGUUCAGGAAGAGUGUUUCCUUAGUUUAGAGGCACCCAUCACUAGAGUCUGUGGGUAUGACACGCCCUUUCCACACAUCUUUGAACCCUUCUGCAUCCCAGACAAAUGGAAGUGCUUUGAAGCUGUCAAGCGUAUGAUCAACUUCUGAAACCCAGACAACAGGAUUUAUAACAUGGAACUCUCUUCUGCUAUCAGUGAACAGACCACGACAUUGAUCUCAACAUCACUGUUUGGUUGCCUUCGAAAGAUUGGACCACAUUACCUGAAGGGCUGUAAUCCUUUUGGGGGAGACCCUAGAAAUCAUCCUGGAUCUUUGUCUGAAGAAUCAUCAACUGAAAUAUGGUUCAUGAACACUAACAUUUAGACAUAGGCUAUAGGUCUUUUGUUUUAAUGUCUAUUCCUGAAUGUCUGUAAUUUUGCUGUUACCUAAACUAUCACCAUUUUCCAUCUUGAUUUUUGUUAUAUACUUAAAUGGGAGUCUGGUAAUUAAAGGGUAGAGUUUUUGUGUGA